AAGGUUGUUCUAGCAAGUCUGAUACAGUCAUGAUAUAACAAGAAUGUUACAAGGUUGAUGACACAAGGUUGUAUUAAACAACACCGUUAUAUCAUGUCUGUAUCAGACUUGUUAGAACAACCUU